UAUACGACCGUACCGCAAACCGACACUGGUGCGCGAGAUGAGUAUUCUAAGGCGCUUGAGAGAACUCAGGAGAAGGAACUCGGCAAAUUGACACCGUAACUUCGGAAGAAGGUGUGCCCUAUUAGUGUGUAGUGAACAACGAAGCAUGAAUGGGUUGCAAAAAAUCGGUGGCUGCGACUGUUUAUUAAAAACACAGCACUCUGCAAACACGAAAGUGGACGUAUAGGGUGUGACGCCUGCCCGGUGCUGGAAGAUUAAAUGAUGGGGUGCAAGCUCUUGAUUGAAGUCCCAGUAAACGGCGGCCGUAACAAUAACGGUCCUAAGGUAGCGAAAUUCCUUGUCGGGUAAGUUCCGACCUGCACGAAUGGCGUAACGAUGGCCACACUGUCUCCUCCUGAGACUCAGCGAAGUUGAAAUGUUUGUGAUGAUGCAAUCUCCCCGCGGAAAGACGGAAAGACCCCAUGAACCUUUACUGUAGCUUUGUAUUGGACUUUGAACAGAUCUGUGUAGGAUAGGUGGGAGGCUUUGAAGCAGGGUCGCUAGAUCUUGUGGAGCCAACGUUGAAAUACCACCCUGGUGUGUUUGAGGUUCUAACCUAGGUCCAUUAUCUGGAUCGGGGACAGUGCAUGGUAGGCAGUUUGACUGGGGCGGUCUCCUCCCAAAGCGUAACGGAGGAGUUCGAAGGUACGCUAGUUACGGUCGGACAUCGUGACGAUAGUGCAAUGGCAUAAGCGUGCUUAACUGCGAGACUGACAAGUCGAGCAGAUGCGAAAGCAGGACAUAGUGAUCCGGUGGUUCUGUAUGGAAGGGCCAUCGCUCAACGGAUAAAAGGUACUCUGGGGAUAACAGGCUGAUACCGCCCAAGAGUUCAUAUCGACGGCGGUGUUUGGCACCUCGAUGUCGGCUCAUCUCAUCCUGGGGCUGUAGCCGGUCCCAAGGGUAUGGCUGUUCGCCAUUUAAAGAGGUACGUGAGCUGGGUUUAAAACGUCGUGAGACAGUUUGGUCCCUAUCUUCCGUGGGCGCUGCAGAUUUGAGGAAGCCUGCUCCUAGUACGAGAGGACCGGAGUGGACACACCUCUGGUGUAUCGGUUGUCACGCCAGUGGCAUUGCCGAGUAGCUAAGUGUGGAAGAGAUAACCGCUGAAAGCAUCUAAGCGGGAAACUCGUUUCAAGAUGAGAUCUGCCGGGGCCUUGAGCCCCCUAAAGAGUCGUUCAAGACCAGGACGUUGAUAGGUCAGGUGUGGAAGCCAU
rnacentral:rRNA from 1 species